rnacentral:rRNA from 1 species
AUUGAACGCUGGCGGCAGGCCUAACACAUGCAAGUCGAGCGAGCGGCGGACGGGUGAGUAAUGUCUGGGGAACUGCCUGUUGGAGGGGGAUAACUACUGGAAACGGUAGCUAAUACCGCAUACCAUCAGAUGUGCCCAGAUGGGAGUAGCUAGUAGGUGGGGUAACGGCUCACCAAGGCGACGAUCCGUAGCUGGUUUGAGAGGACGACCAGCCACACUGGGACUGAGACACGGCCCAGACUCCUACGGGAGGAAGCAGUGGGGAAUUUUGGACAAUGGGGGAAACCCUGAUCCAGCCAUCCCGCGUGUGCGAAGAAGGCCUUCGGGUUGUAAAGCACUUUUGGCAGGAAAGCGGUACCUGCAGAAUAAGCACCGGCUAACUACGUGCCAGCCGCCGCGGUAAUUC